UACGUAGGGUGCAAGCGUUAAUCGGAAUUACUGGGCGUAAAGCGUGCGUAGGCGGUGGCCCAAGUCUGGUGUGAAAUCUCCCGGCUUAACCGGGAGGGUGCGCCGGAAACUGGGUUGCUUGAGUGCCGGAGAGGCAGGCGGAAUUCCUGGUGUAGCGGUGAAAUGCGUAGAUAUCAGGAGGAACACCCGUGGUGUAGACGGCCUGCUGGACGGCAACUGACGCUGAGGCACGAAAGCGUGGGGAGCAAACAGG
rnacentral:rRNA from 1 species